GGCCUGGCACUCGGUGCCGUGGUUUGGUUGGCAUGGCGUGCUCGGUCAUGGGUUGGGCUCGACGAUCUCAGAGGUCUUCUGCAACCUAGUUGAUUCUGUUAAAUCGGUAGAGGCCGAGACUGGGCUGGGGGCGGUUUGGGGGGGGGGGGGGGGCGAGCGGAGCCCUCCUGGAGGGGGAAACUGGCUCGUUCUUGCCCGCAGUUUUCUUGCUCCUACAGCGACAUGAAUACUUGAAGCCAGCCUUCCGUGAAUACUUGAAGCCAGCUCUUCCUCCUGCCGGGGCUGAGGGAGCCCCGAGUGUCCCCAUCUCGUCGUGGGGCUGAGGGGGCCCUCUCCCCGUCCUGGGAGCCCCUUCCCCACAGCCAGGUGGAACACAAGUGGGUUGUGCGACUAUUCUGCCCAGCUCAUGUUAUAGAUGCCUUGAGUAUAAUUUAAUAUUCACCAGCCAGCUAACCAGAAAAAAUAAUACCUGUCACUAAGAGUCUGAACUGUUAUUCCCCAGGUUUAAUCAACUCAUUUUACCAACGUUUCUUUUGCCCCCUGGUUCGAGGUCUCCUAUUUGGCACAGACGUCAUGCGAUACCCGAUGUGGGAGCUGGAGACUUGAGAGCUGUUUUCCUAGACUAAAUGUUUGAGGUUACAGGACGUGGCCUAGUUUCACAUAAGCUUUCAAAUUUCAAUGGGACAUGCUGAAUCCUGAAACUGUCAAAUAGUGUAUUAUUUUUGGAGUGAGAGAGAGUACGUGUGUGUGAGUGUGUGAAUGACCUUUACAUUUUUACCCUAUCCCAAAAGUCUGACUUCCUGCCCUUUCUCCCAUGAGUCCAUAAACUUUAGCCAUUAAAAUGAACACUUUUUAAGGAAGAAAUUCAGUAUAGGAGAGAACGAGUGGAAAGAGGAAUGAUGUAUUAAGGGGAAAAUAAGGAAUACAUCCAAAUGCUACAACUUCAUGGAAGACAUAGAAAAAUCUGGAGAAUUUGGGCUUCUUUCAUUUUUGCCAGGUUCCCUUCUCCAUCUUAGUAAUAUCAAGACCUCUGUGUGUGGGUGUGUGGGGGAAGUGAUGAGGGGGUGAGGGGUAUGUUCCAUUUUGUUUCCCACAAAAAAGCUCAUUUUUUUGCUACUCUUCAAAGCAAUGGGAGUGAUGAAUCUUACCUAAUUCCUUUCCAAAUUUGUAACUAAUUCUAAAACUUUGUAAGCUCACAGAAUGGACAUCUCUAAAUGCUGAAUAAAAGUGCUUAUGUCUCUCUUUA